AUGCACGCUGGCGGCGUGCCUCAUACAUGCCAGUCGAGCGAACGGACGAGAAGCUUGCUUCUCUGAUGUUAGCGGCGGACGGGUGAGUAACACGUGGAUAACCUACCUAUAAGCCUGGGAUAACUUCGGGAAACCGGAGCUAAUACCGGAUGAUAUUUUGAACCGCAUGGUUCAAAAGUGAAAGACGGUCUUGCUGUCACUUAUAGAUGGAUCCGCGCUGCAUUAGCUAGUUGGUAAGGUAACGGCUUACCAAGGCAACGAUGCAUAGCCGACCUGAGAGGGUGAUCGGCCACACUGGAACUGAGACACGGUCCAGACUCCUACGGGAGGCAGCAGUAGGGAAUCUUCCGCAAUGGGCGAAAGCCUGACGGAGCAACGCCGCGUGAGUGAUGAAGGUCUUCGGAUCGUAAAACUCUGUUAUUAGGGAAGAACAUAUGUGUAAGUAACUGUGCACAUCUUGACGGUACCUAAUCAGAAAGCCACGGCUAACUACGUG
rnacentral:rRNA from 1 species